AUUGAACGCUAGCGGGAUGCCUUACACAUGCAAGUCGAACGGAGUGGCGAACGGGUGAGUAAUGUAACGGAACGUGCCCAGUACCGGGGGAUAACUACGCGAAAGCGUAGCUAAUACCGCAUACUAUUUGAACGGCCGAUAUCGGAUUAGCUAGGUGGUGGGGUAACGGCUCACCAAGGCGACGAUCCGUAGCUGGUUUGAGAGGACGACCAGCCUCACUGGGACUGAGAAACGGACCAGACUCCGACGGGAGGCAGAAGUGGGGAAGUUUGGAAAAUGGGGGAAACCCUGAUCCAGCCAUCCCGAGUGUGCGAUGAAGGCCUUCGGGUUGUAAAGCACUUUUGGCAGGAAAGCGGUACCUGCAGAAUAAGCACCGGCUAACUACGUGCCAGCAGCCGCGGUAAUAC
rnacentral:rRNA from 1 species